rnacentral:lncRNA from 1 species
GUUUUUUCAGCUAAAUGCACAAGUUUUUUCUUGGUGAUGAAAUCAGGUAUCAUUUUCAUCUUUAGAUGUUGGAGUUGUUCCAGAAUCCACAACUAGUGAGGUUUCGGUCUCCCACCCAAGACCUCCAAAGGGGACCAUUGAUCUCUUCUCUAGCCCUCCUAUCCCAAUGCCAACACAACUUUCUCCAACGGACAGAGAAGCCAGAGUGUUAAGGUACAGAGAGAAGAAGAAGGCGAGGAAGUUUGAGAAGACCAUCAGGUAUGCAUCAAGGAAGGCCUAUGCAGAAACCAGACCUAGGAUCAAAGGUCGAUUUGCAAAAAGAACAGAUGUAAGAGCCAACCAGAUGUUCUCAUCAACGCUAAUAGAAGAAGGUGGCUAUGGAAUCGUCCCAUCAUUCUGAUCUGAUCCCAGCAAGAAAAGGUUUAAGAGAAUUAAAAAACGAAUCAUCUCAAAUUUGUACCAAUCAUUUCAAAAGCCAUUACCAAUGAUUCUCUUAGUAAUUCCUGUUUAUAAUUUAGGUAUCAUCUUGUUCAAAUCUCUGCCUUGUUGUAAAUCCAUGUACUUGUGCACUUACACCGGUACCAAUCCUUUGUUUACAUUGUUUAAUGAAC